GACGAACGCUGGCGGCGUGCUUAACACAUGCAAGUCGAACGGAAAGGCCUCUUUCGGGGGUACUCGAGUGGCGAACGGGUGAGUAACACGUGAGUAACCUGCCCUUGACUUUGGGAUAACUUCAGGAAACUGGGGCUAAUACCGGAUAGGAGCUCCUGCUGCAUGGUGGGGGUUGGAAAGUUUCGGCGGUUGGGGAUGGACUCGCGGCUUAUCAGCUUGUUGGUGGGGUAGUGGCUUACCAAGGCUUUGACGGGUAGCCGGCCUGGGAGGGUGACCGGCCACAUUGGGAAUGGGAUACGGCCCAGACUCCUACGGGGGGCAGCAGUGGGGAAUAUUGCAAAAUGGGGGGGAGCCUGAUGCAGCAAAGCCGUGUGCGGGAUGACGGCCUUCGGGUUGUAAACCGGCUUCGCUCAUGACGGAGCUUUGUGUGACGGUAGUGGGUAAAGAAGCACCGGCUAACUACGUG
rnacentral:rRNA from 1 species